UGGGUCGAGUCAGUAUACGUCCCUUUCCCAGACCAGGCCUCAGAGCUACGUUUAUCGAGAGAAAACACCGGCGUUGCAUUGGCCCUUGAUGACAGGUCUUUCACCACGAUGCCAGAUGUCAGCGAUACUAUCAAAAUUUCACAGGCAGCUAUUUCUGAAUGAAAUAAUCCAGAAAGAUAUACCUACUGCGUCCGAUAAUGCACGGGUAAUGCAAAAUGGCAAGAAUGAGGACAUUAGACCCAUAGAUGGUUCCCUGUUUGUGAUUGUGUCUUCACAAACAUGGCUCUGCAAGUACGCGCAUACAUCUGUGAGGCAA
rnacentral:lncRNA from 1 species